GCCCCGCCACCAGAGGCGCCUGCACUCCCUGUAUGUGGCUGCUGUCACUCUAGCCACGCCCCAUAGCGGCCUGGCAGACGGCUCGGCAGCGGCGCCCAGAGCACCUGCGCCACUGCCGGGGGCGCGCAGCCCGCGGGGGGACCGUUGACAACGGGAACGCGUUCCCGUGCGGGGCGGAGGCGGCUCCGGUCUCCCGGCCGCUGUCUCUUUCCUCCUGUACUACCAGCCGCUCCCGUAGGCGCCGCGCGCCCUCCCGUCGCCUAGCAACGGGCUUCAAAGCGGCCGCUCGUGGGCUGCUUUCCUUCAGCUCCCGCCCUGUUCACGUGACGCGCCGCGGCCUGCGCUCGCGGGGCCGCACCGGCGGCUCAAUCCGCGAGUUCGCGUCGCUGAGGAGACACGGGCGGGGUGCGGGGGCUGUGGGCUCUGCCGCCCCCGGAGCGGCUCUGGGGAGGCCCGGGUGAGGAGCGGUGCCCAGGCAGGCUGCGGUGCUGCAGUACAGCCGGAGCCUUAAUAAGUUGCCGUACAGCUCCUGAGCUGUUGGCGUGACGCAGCAAGUAUUCCGGGCCUUGGGCCGCCGUCGUGCCUCAGCUGUGGUAAAACUGUUUGCCUGCCCUGCCCCGACCACACCGCCCGGCACUUCCAGACACUAACGGGGGAAGUAAGAGGAGAGGGGAGUGCUGUGAACGGGGUUUCUUGCCGAUGUUGCAUAAAUCAGAGUGAGUGGUCUGAGGCCCGGCUGUAUGUUGGUGCUUGGACUCCUGUCUUUUUCUUGUCCCCAUGCAACAGGAGGCGAACCGUCCAGGAGGAUGAUCUGGGCGGAUGAAAUCGGCCUGUAGGCAUAGAGAGGUGGCAGCAGUGCUCAAGUCUAAAUGAACGUAAAUGUCACCUAGUUUAGUAAGAAGGAAAGAUUCUCGCAGCACGAGGAUGCAUUAAGUAAUUCUAAAUCUUACUAUUUAAGCCUCUUCUGAGCAGUGAAGUGUUUCAAGUCAGAACUAAUUGCUGGUAUCUUAAUAAGCCAUUUUUGUAUGUUACUGUUUCCAGAGCAUACCGGUGCUAGCAGGGUUUAGAGAAAGCCUGGAGAAGUACUUUAUCUCAGUCAUUCUUUCUCAUUCAGUUCCUUCUUCUGGCUCUUUUCACUUGCUGUGUUUGCCACUGUGUUUUUUUCAAAUUGUGGCAAUGUAGAUGUUUACUUCUGCCUGUGUAAGGUGAACACCAGCUUAGUGUAAAACACCAAUAGCACACAAAAAGAUCAGUUAUACUGACUUCAGAGCGUACUAGAAAAGUCUUCAUCUAAUAACCUUCAGAUAAUCAGUAUUUUUGAUAAAAGCAUAUGUUUAACUGCCAGCUAAAGCUUUUGUGCUACUGAAGUCUGCUGAUCCAAGUGUUUGUUUUCUUUGUUUUGUACCACAAUUAUCCAAAUCUUUAACCAACUGGGCUCCAGUAGAAGAGAAAAUGUGGCAUUUUCAAUAUUAACCUUGCCUUUUUUCUGGACUUUCACAUUUCUUGAUGUCACUUUCCUUUAAAAAGAUUGAACUUUAUAUUUUAAAUCACAAAGAAUUAUGAUGUAUAAAAAGAGAAGUAAUUUAAUUGUAAAAGGACAUUGUAUAGCAACAAAAAUUUCACAGUGAGCUGUAGGCAAGAUUUCAAUUUCUUAAAGUUUUAAGAUGCCCAUUAUAGUCCUACUAAAAGUAGCAGAAUUCCCAUUUGCUUACAUCUGAGAUUAAUGUUUCACUGCUUUUAUCUUUGUUAGUUAUUUAUGUCCUGAUCUUACAGAUGACUUUCUUUGGAGGAAGUGGCCUGUUUGUGUUGGAAAGUGAUUUUACACCUAUGGAGAUGUAGGGGCAAUUUACUUCCCCGAAGGCCUAGCUCCGAGUUCUUUCUGGCUCAGCAUUCCUUAGCUCAUGAAAACAACUGCAACUUCAGCUUCUCCGGGACAAAAGUUUUCUCCCUUUUCUCUGAUACUAAUUUACUAGAGUAAAUGGCAAUGUAUUAUUUUGUAUGUAUAUUUCAUACAUAUAGCCUAUGUGUAUUUUCCACACAGAAAAGGUAGCCUGGGACAAACCUUUGUGUUUCAAGAAAAAGAUGCAACAUGUGCAUAGCAUUCUUCACUAUGGUAAAAUAGGAUUUUUAUUUUUAUUUUUUUUUUUAGGAGGGCCAGGCCUCCUGCGCUGCAGCUAUUAGCUGCCCCUGAAACUUAGACAGUCCUUGUUAGGGAUAUGGACCAUGAAACUGGUUGAAACAUUGCCAAGGGAGAAUCACUAUGAAGUGUGAAGAGAAGAUUCUUGGAAAUUUUAGUAGUAUUACGCAGCAGAGACAUUACCAUUUAAUGCACAUUACCUCGUGCACUGCAGGAGCUAUCUCACAGUGCCCAGAUAACAACAAAAAUGCAAAGGAUCAUCAAACAUCUACUUGGAAGGGUGCAUGUGUACUUCACAAGAAACUGUCUUUGAUAUGCAAUACUAAUUCCUGGAAAUUAGAAGGUAGCGGUUUAUGACAGUUCACUGUAACAAGACAUUAAGUCAGAGCUUUCACUUAGUGCUGGUCAUUUCACAUGCAAAUUCCAUUCAGUUAGAUAUGGCUGUUGUUAUACAAGCAAAUCUAGUGACACAGCAGAAAAAUUAUUUCCAAAGUCUAUGAGCUUGAAUUUCCUUUGCCAGAGAAGCACAAUAUUCCUCUGGUUUUGAUUAAAUACCAGGAUUCUGUAGGACAGGCUAAUGACAUUUAUUAUCCAGUUCAAUAGCUAAUCACCUUAGAGGCUAUUUUUUAAUAACACCAUGUGUUGUGACUAGUGUAUAAAUCAAAUGAAAAGUGUAACAUUAGACAAAUUACCCAAAUCCUACAUACUGCAGAUGCAGAGGGAUAUGGGGAAAGCUGUGGAACAGUAAAGGACAAAAGCAAAUACAAGCAAAUGCAAAAGGAGGAAAAGGAAGAAACCAGCUGCAUUAUCUUGCUGAAUUGGUUGGAAAACACAAAGGAAUGAAGUCAUAAGGAGAAUGAAAUUAUUGCAAGGGCAACACACCUGUAUUAAUGCUAUUGUAUAGUAGUAUUACAAUUAUAUAUUAUACCUGUAUAAUUAUUAUCUAUCAAUAAUGUGUAAUUAUAUUCUUAUUAUACCUGUAUAAUUAUGUUAUUAUACCUGGAUUAGUAUUAAUUUAUAAUAUUAUAAUAUGCUACCUGUUGCUGGCAUGUAGUAAUGUCUUCAUGAAAGAGACAUUUUAGUGACCUGGCAUCACCAAUUCUUGCUGCUCCAUAUGGAAACUGAGCAGCUUUCUCAAUGUGUAUGAAAAAUACAUUUCAGUACAAUGACAUGGCAGACCUAGGCAAGGAUAAUAUGUAUUAAUUUAUGUGUAAUAAUAAUAAGCAUUAUUAUUACAGUAACCAAUUGUAAUUUGCUUAUACAUUCAAAAAUUGAAGUUACUCCUCUUCAGGUGUACCCUAGAUCUAAGACUAGAGCUAAAGUAGUACUGCUAUGAGAUUAUGUUAUACGGUUCUGAAAGAAUAUCAAGUUCCUUCAUAAAAUAUUACAGCAGUUUCCCCGUGGAUUUUGAGAAUGCACUUGAAAAUAAGCAGUAACAAUGAAAUUGCUGACAAAUUGCAACACAUGAAGUUUUACUCUUACAACCGUCUCUUAAACUGACAUACAAAAUGUUUUGCACAAAGCAGCCUUUUAUGAUCUGUGCUACGUCUGCUGAAUUCUUUUUUGAUAACUUAGAUGCUCUAUGAAUUAUUUUGCUUUGAUUAUUAAAAAGUAGUCAGUGGUAGAAAAUUUAAUAUAUUUCUUCACAAUAAAUAACAAAGCUUAGAGCAGUAGGAGAUGGGGUCACUGUGUGUUACAUUCUUCAGUUAGCACUGAUUAGACCAGUUAAUUAAAGCUACCCUCAUUUUAUACAUUCCUUCAUGUGAAGUCUAACAUUUACAUUUUACUGCUUUCGUCUUGAUAAAUAAACAUCAUGCCAUAUAGCAGGCUAACAAACAAAAAGCCCUGUUCUUUAGUACUGACAGUCACACUGAGUUGCAUCUUCAAUGCUGCUUAGGUGCACUAGCUGAAAAAAAUGGUACAAGCUCAUAAAUUUUCUCACUUGCAGUGAGCAAGUGGUGUCUCAGGGUGACAAAAAUCUCCACCUGCCAGGUUGUGUGAAUUCGGGUUGUUUCGUCCUCUGGUGGGCAGGCUGUGGCAGCAGCGACUCUGGGUUUGCAGAGCACAGGGAACACUGGCCGCUUUCCAUGUGUGUGGCUGUGUGAGUUGCACACCUUCCUCCUGGGGUCUGGUGGAACCACAGAACGGCUUAUGUCCUCAACACCAUCUGUGUGUAAGGAUGUGUCACAAAAAUAUCUACCAUACUGAGUUUUCAUUUAAUAGCAGCAUGUAAUUAAUGAAGGUUAAGCGUUGGUGUGGUCUUCAUAUGAUAGAAAGUUUGUAGUCACAAAAUCCAAACCCAGACGUACAACUACUUAUGGGGCAGAUUUAGAGUAGAAGAAAGCAUUAUUGUUGCAGUUAUCUCCAGUUUCCAGUCUCCUUACUCUGACUUCUCUAAGCAGCUGGCACUAAAAAAAAAAAAAAAAAAAAGUUUAUUUAAUCAAAAAAAAUACCUUUGACCUUAAUCAUUCAGUAUGUGAGGAAAGACUUCUGCACCAUGAGAAACUAAAAAAUGUUCAAUGUGCGAUACUAAAUAUGAGCUUUACAGCCUUGGCUUGCAUAUGUUUUCCAAAGGUUUUAUACUGAUCAAAGACAGCUGUACUUCUGUUCACCACAGCAACAGUUUCACCACCCAUUACCCCCCUGCCCUGUGUUUGUGACACUAUUUUUCUUUGUUUCUGGAACCCCUGGCUUGAGUCAAACACGCUUUUUUGCUGACAAUGCUGGGGUACUCAGUGUUACUAUUGGAAAACAGCAGAAUCAGAGAAUGGUUGCAUUUAGAAGGCCUUACAGCACUGGUUCCAAGCGCUAUGUUUUUCAGCCAGUAUUUUUCCCCCAGAAAAUCCAUGGGCAUUUGAGAGGGGUUUUGUUUUGUUUUGUUUUGCAUGCCAGAGUUAUUCUAAAUAGUUUAAAAUUCUAUUAAACUGAGAUUUCAAUAUCAGCUACCAACUCCUCACAAUCCUUCCUUUGAAGAGCGUUGCAAAAUUUUUAAAUAUAUCACUUUAAUACAAUUGAAGCAGUUUGCAAGUAGAUUAAAAGUACUACAAUUUCAAAUACAAGAGUAGCAUCUCUUUUAUUUUGUCCCUGCAUAGCUACAUUUAAUAUGUGAAGGUAUUUUCCCCAUUCCAGAAUAAUAAUGGAAAUAAUAGUAGCAUAUCAGAUAGUGAUGUUUGCUUUGCAAUAUUGCUAGCACAGAGCAACGUGAAGAACAAUACAAAUACAUAUUUGCUUUUCUAAAGAACUUUCUAAAUAUUGUAUAAGUAUUUAACAUUUAUAAGGGUGCUGAGAUUUGCUAGAAUUAUAAAAGAUUCAAUAAACAAACAGACCUUGAACAUGAGAA